rnacentral:lncRNA from 1 species
UGGGAAGCAGCGAGCGGGUGGGGGCACAUCCUUCUACUCCUGUUCCCCCCCAUGCUCUCCUUCCUGCUCAGUCCCCACCAUUACCCCAUUGGUGUCCUCCACUCUGCCCAAGGGGCUCUGGUGCUGCUUGGUGCUCUGAAAAUGUUUCCUGUUGGUCUCCUUCUCCCAUAGCGGGUGUGGAAGUAUUGGACUCCAGCAGCAAUAUCUGUACAUCCUCUUCUGGGAGCUGGGGGUCAGAACUGGAGGGCAGAUGUUCGUAGAAGUGGUUUUCCUUUUUUUGUUUCCCUUUUUUCCUCCCAUUCCAAUCUUUUGCUCCCCAUCCCCAGCCUUACCUUGUUGGGAUCCUUCUCCUCUGGUGUGCUGGGGGUUCUGGUGCUGCUUUGUGCUCUGAGAAAUGGUUCAGUCGUUCUCCUUCUGCAGGCGUGGAAACCUUGUGCUUCAGUAUUGGUGUUUGCACAGACUGCUGUGGGGUGGACAGUUAGGAUGGGGGGGAUAGAAGAAAGGACUGAAGGAGGGGCUCGGGAGGAUUAGAAAGGUGGGAGAAAAAGGAGAGAGAAAGGGGAGUGGAAAGUGGAAAUAAGGCAAGAUGGAGGAGCAAGAGAAGCAGGAAGGAGUUCAGUGCAGUUUGACAUGUGAAGACAUGCGAGAAG